UUUGAAUUUGUAUUGAUUCAGAAGCGGUUUGCAGGAAAUUCAUUUUUCAACUUAAAUAUAAUUUAAUAAUUUUAAAAUUCUCUAAGGUAGGGGAUGGUUUGUCAUAGUUAUUUUCUUCAAAUUGACAAAAGUAUCCUCUCCGACUUGCCUCUUUUACCCCAAAAUUAGAACAAACAAAUAUCAGUUGCAUCGCGCUUUCAGCCACCGCCAUGCACAAGAGACGGAAGAAACCUUGAAAUAAUUAAGCCAUAUAUGCUUGCGGCUUUUAAAUAAGGCUGUGCCCAUACCUUCGUGUGCACCAGAUUGCAAGCUGCUAUAGGCUACGUGGAUUCAAUGGAAACUGACAACAGAAGUUUUCCUUCUGCCUCUUCUAUUUGAGACAGUCUGACGUGAUAGGAAUGUCCUCCGAUUAUUUAUUAUUUUUCUUGUCUAAGCGGCCUAUUUAACAGCAAAUCAUUCAAAGCUAAGCGCUUUUGUGUUGUAGGCCUUGUAUUGGGCCUCUUGAAACAUUGGCUUCGGCCGCAACGAACAUUCAUACCCGUUAAUAGGCUAUAAGUUAAUUUUAUCCCGUCAAAUAGUAGGUUUUUAACCAUAACAAGACUUAUUGAAGUUAUGAAACGUGUAGCCAUUGCUCCAAUAUGUCUCUGUUUUCUUAUGCUAAUUUUGUUUUCAUAAAAUCUAAAGGAAGUGCUCAGUUUGUACACAGAAGAUAAAACUUAAAGGACAGCUCUGUUUAGCCUAUUAUAUAGGCUAUUUGGGUUAUUUUUAAUUGUUUAAUUUUUUUAUUAACUUAAUUUUAUUAACAAAUUAAUGUGUUACACGUUUUAUGUUAUGUAUUUUUUUGUAGUUUGAUUUUCAUCUUUUUAAAUGAACUUAUAAUAUUCAAAAUACAAUUACGUGAACAUAUGUUUGGAGUAUUUUGGAAUAUUUAGAGAGAGUAUGUUUUUGUUCUGUCUUCUCUCACUAUCUCCGGUUUCCUGUUGAAUAGCCUACAGUCACGGCAUGUGAUACAGAAGUUGUUUAUCCUGUGUGAAACUUGCAGUCAUUGUUGUUUGCAUAAAGUUAAAGUCGCUGAAUUUGCAGUUUGAAGGUGUCAAGCGUAGGCUAUAUAUGAAAACCCUCCCAGCAGCCUACUUAGAUACAGCGAAUCAAAGGUAGAAAUGUACGGACCUUAGCUGAGGAUUCUGAGGAUUAACUGAUUCAUGAUGAAGUUCCAGCAAUCAUGACUUCUCAACAGACGUAAUUGCACUUUUAACUUCUGAUAUCUGAUUUCCCUUUAGCAACGUGUCGACCAGAAAAAAAAAUAGUUGUCGUAGGGAUCCCUGACUGAACGCAUAAGAGUACAAUCGAUCAUUUGGAAAUGCAGCUGUCAAUCAAGUCACGCCUCCUACUCACCUGCUCACUGCGACUUCACACAAAGAAAUCUUUUGCACUAGUGACGAGAGACAUUCAGAUUUUUACGAUGAUUCUUUUAUGUCGGUUCGAAUUUUGUUUAAUUUUGUCACUCAUUUUUGCUCUCAGACAUGUCAAGGGAAACUCGAGAUAUGAUAUGUAGCAACUCUGAAAUUGCACGUGACAAAUAAGGCCUUGUUGAAGGAAUAUAAAUAAUUUUGGUACACAUUAAGAUUUGUUUACAACAUCAAGUGACACUUUUUAAAGCGGUUCAGUGGUACUUUGGAUUCAGCAUCUAUAGCUCAUUGGACUCGAUGCAGUGUCAAGAAACGGAGCCUCCACUUUGUUCCAAGCUGUGUUUCUGUGAAGGAUGCUUCUCCUCUGAGUAUGUCCCUUCUGGGAAUGAGACGGGCUGGUUGGCAGUGCAGCAGCAGAGGGCCUUCUGUUCAUGAUGCCACUGUAGCUGCUUUGAUUGACAGGGUGCAGACUGUGAAGCCCCUCCUCCUGGAAGUCUCAGGCAUACCGAAUCUGAGCAAAGAAUUUUUUUUUAUGGUUUUCAUUACAUUUAGCGGGAACUCUGGUCCUCAGGGUCUGCAUAAUAUAUCUGUUAUGGCCAACGGAUACCUCACCUGCUACAUAGAUGCAGUAUUACCUGCUGCUGGAUUGUACCAUUUAAGUAUGCUUACUAUCUGCAAAGCAACAAAUAUAUGGGAAGAAUAAAAUAGCUUUUGUCACCACCAUAAGUCUUUGUAUUUCUAGAUGUGACUGUGACAAACAGAAUCUACACUCAUUCUGCCAGCUGGAAGAUUAGAGCGUGUCCCUUUGGGACUGAGUGCUUGAAUCUCAUGUUGUCCAAGAGCGAUCAGGAUAUCCCAUCUUGUGCCCCUCUGCCCACAGAGGCAGAGGAGAAGCAGUGGGGUAAAGCCUCAACAAAAUCUACAGACAGUCACAAGCGAGGUGUGAGGUCACAGGCAUUCAUAAAGAAAAGCUACUCUGUUAUACAAACUUAUCACUGCUUUUUAUACUUUUCUGCUCUGUAUGUGUGCUGUGUAUUACAGCUAUUUCGAUCUCUUCUGAAAAACGGGCAUAUGCAACAGAGACAGACAUCAAAUUUGUAGCAGUAACAGAAGGGCCUGAUCCUUCUAAUGAUACAUUCAUUAGCAAUUUGGGGAUGGACCAGAAAUAAAAACAACAUAAUCUACAAAAAUAGAUAUCGCCUACCGGACAAGUUUUUUGUUGUUUAAUAAAUUUUUUAUACAAACCAUUCACAAACUAAAGAGCUUUCAAUUCUAACAUAUUUCAUACAGAUAUAAUGUUUUACUGAGUCAAUACUUUACAUGUGUCUAUUUACUGAAUCUGUAAUAUUUAUUUACUUUUUUAUUUAUUAUUUAAUUAAAAAAAUAUAAUCUAAUUUUGAUAGUGGUUUGACCGCUCACUCAUUGAUUCAAGUUUCUGUUUAAUU